rnacentral:misc_RNA from 1 species
GAGGAUCAUUAUUUUUGCCAAAAUAAAAUACAGAAUAGAUACAAGAAUUUUUAUUUUAUUUUUUCAAAACUAGAUUACAUCACAAAGUUCCGUCCUAUUUCUUGGGACACAGCAAAGCCACAUGAGUUAAAGAUUUACAUACAUUAGCAGAGAGAACAGAAGUAUAAAACAGCACAGAAAGCAGUCAAGUAAAACUUGGCAACCCAGGAAAUGUCAGCUGCAGAUCAAGGCUUAGGAUAUCAGAUUCUGCAAAGAAUCAAAUUAACCGCAGAUAUGUAGAGAAGAAGCGCACCUUCCGCAGGCAACAUCAAGGCUUGGCAUUGCCCUGUUUCACAUCAAGGACACGCUCCUCAGUGGUGGUGCCAAUAAUUUCAUUAGCGCGUGUUAUAUUAACGCAACUAUACUGUCCGAGGAGAUCCUAUGUUCAAAAGCACUUGGUUAGAAAGAAUGUAUAAACACACAACAGUCAAAAAAAAUUUGCAAUUAAAGUUGACAACUUAACCCAUAAUCUCCUUCAAGUGAUUCCUGUGAAGAAUGAUAUCAGCAACAAUGAUAAAUAAAAGAUAGGAUAUACUUUCAAUUUAGCUUCACAUAAAACUACAUUUUAAUAUUGAUCUACUGAAUUUUAUAAAUGAGAAAAUAGGUUCUCACCUGUGCAAUGAUACCCAGCUUCUCUAAUUUUUGGACUGCAUCAUCCACAUCAAAAUUACAGCUCUCUCCAAACUCUUCUUGAAUUAA